rnacentral:rRNA from 1 species
UACGAAGGGGGCUAGCGUUGCUCGGAAUCACUGGGCGUAAAGGGUGCGUAGGCGGGCAGGUAAGUCCGUGGUGAAAUCUCUGAGCUUAACUCAGAAACUGCCAUGGAUACUAUUUGUCUUGAAUGUUGUGGAGGUAAGCGGAAUAUGUCAUGUAGCGGUGAAAUGCUUAGAUAUGACAUAGAACACCAAUUGCGAAAGGCAGCUUACUACACAAAAUAUUUGACGCUGAGGCACGAAAAGCGUGGGGGAUCAAACAGG